ensembl:misc_RNA 7SK 7SK RNA
GUGUGUGAAGGCCAUCUGCCUGUGACACCUGUCUCCCCAUUGAUCGCCAGGCUUGGGUGGCUGAUCUGGCUGAUCUGGCUGGCUAGACAGCUGUCCCGUUCCUCCCUUACUACUACAUAUGCUUCUGGGCACCCAGGCUGAAAGAGGACAACCUUCCUCUACUAGGGAAUACGUUGUAGGUCAAGGUUAUAAGAGUAGGGGCAUUUGCCUCCUAGACCCUCCAAAUAAGCUCUCAGAAUUUAUUUUAAUAUUAAUCUGAUGACAGAUUCCAAGAAAUGUCAAUAGAAGCAAUGUUACAUGUUUUUUUUCUAU